rnacentral:rRNA from 1 species
GAACGCUGGCGGCAUGCUUUACACAUGCAAGUCGGACGGCAGCGGGGUAGUGCUUGCACUACUGCCGGCGAGUGGCGAACGGGUGAGUAAUAUAUUGGAACGUACCGAGUAAUGGGGGAUAACCAAUCGAAAGAUUGGCUAAUACCGCAUACGCUCUGAGGAGGAAAGCAGGGGACCUUCGGGCCUUGCGUUAUUCGAGCGGCCAAUAUCUGAUUAGCUAGUUGGUGGGGUAAAGGCCUACCAAGGCGACGAUCAGUAGCGGGUCUGAGAGGAUGAUCCGCCACACUGGGACUGAGACACGGCCCAGACUCCUACGGGAGGCAGCAGUGGGGAAUUUUGGACAAUGGGCGCAAGCCUGAUCCAGCCAUGCCGCGUGUCUGAAGAAGGCCUUCGGGUUGUAAAGGACUUUUGUUAGGGAAGAAAAAGGAGCGGUUAAUACCCGUUUCUGCUGACGGUACCUAAAGAAUAAGCACCGGCUAACUACGUGCCAGCAGCCGCGGUAAUACGUAGGGUGCGAGCGUUAAUCGGAAUUACUGGGCGUAAAGCGAGCGCAGACGGUUACUUAAGCAGGAUGUGAAAUCCCCGGGCUCAACCUGGGAACUGCGUUCUGAACUGGGUAG